UAGAUGCGAGAGUAGAGCAUAUCAAUAAGCGGAGGAAAAGAAACUAACAAGGAUUCCCUUAGUAACGGCGAGUGAAGCGGGAAGAGCUCAAAUUUGAAAUCUUCAAGGUUUUACCUUGACGAGUUGUAGUUUAUAGAAGUGUUUUCUGUUGGAGUUUUGGUAAAAGUUCUUUGGAAUAGGACAUCAUAGAGGGUGAGAAUCCCGUAUUUGGUACAUAUCCUCCUAACUUUGUGAUACACUUUCAACGAGUCGGAUUGUUUGGGAAUGCAGUCCAAAAUGGGUGGUAAAUUUCAUCUAAAGCUAAAUAUUGGCGAGAGACCGAUAGCGAACAAGUACCGUGAGGGAAAGAUGAAAAGAACUUUGAAAAGAGAGUUAAACAGUACGUGAAAUUGUCAAAAGGGAAGCGUUUGACACCAGUGUUGUUUUUCCGAAAAUCAAUUACGAAUGUUUUAUUUUUGAGGAGUUAUGACUUCAUCGGCUUGCUUCUCUCUUUAUGAAACUUUCUUAAUGCACUUUUCGGUUAACAAGUCAACAUCAAUUUCUUUUGUUGUAAAAGGAGUAUGAGGAAGGUGGCUUUCUUUUCGGAGAAAGUGUUUAUAGCCUUGUACCUCUGCAAUCGGAGAGAUUGAGGUCUGCAGCGUAGAUCCUUCGGGGUUAGAUACAUUUGUGCUAAGUUAUAGCUUUUCAUAGACAACUUGUUGAUUAUGUUAGUCUUGUAGCUUACUCGCUUAUGCUAAUUUUACCUACGCUUAGGAUGUUGACGAGACUGUCGAUCUC
rnacentral:rRNA from 1 species